UCCAGACUCCUACGGGAGGCAGCAGUGAGGAAUAUUGGUCAAUGGGCGGGAGCCUGAACCAGCCAAGUCGCGUGAGGGAAGACGGUCCUACGGAUUGUAAACCUCUUUUGCCGGGGAGCAACGGGGUCCUUGCGAGGGCCCGAUGAGAGUACCCGGAGAAAAAGCAUCGGCUAACUCCGUGCCAGCAGCCGCGGUAAUACGGAGGAUGCGAGCGUUAUCCGGAUUUAUUGGGUUUAAAGGGUGCGCAGGCGGAGGUGCAAGUCAGCGGUCAAAUUGCGGGGCUCAACCCCGUACUGCCGUUGAAACUGCAUCCCUUGAGUGCGCGAGAAGUAUGCGGAAUGCGUGGUGUAGCGGUGAAAUGCAUAGAUAUCACGCAGAACUCCGAUUGCGAAGGCAGCAUACCGGCGCGCAACUGACGCUCAUGCACGAAAGCGUGGGUAUCGAACAGGAUUAGAUACCCUAGUA
rnacentral:rRNA from 1 species